rnacentral:rRNA from 1 species
AACGAACGCUGGCGGCGUGCUUAACACAUGCAAGUCGCGUGCGCAGUUUCCCUGUAGCAAUACAGGGGGAUGGGCGCACGGCGCACGGGUGCGUAACACGUGGGCAAUCUGCCCUCUGAUGGGGAAUAACCCCGCGAAAGCGGGGCUAAUUCCGCAUAACAUUCCCUGGACGAUGGUUUGGGGAUUCAAAGCCGUAAGGCGUCAGAGGAGGAGCCCGCGCCCGAUUAGCUAGUUGGUGAGGUAAUGGCUCACCAAGGCAAUGAUCGGUAGCUGGUCUGAGAGGAUGAUCAGCCACACUGGAACUGAGACACGGUCCAGACUCCUACGGGAGGCAGCAGUGGGGAAUCUUGCACAAUGGGCGAAAGCCUGAUGCAGCGACGCCGCGUGGGGGAUGAAGCUUUUCGGAGUGUAAACCCCUUUCGACCGGGAAGAAUGCCUCGCAAGAGGAGUGACGGUACCGGUAUAAGAAGCCCCGGCUAACUACGUGCCAGCAGCCGCGGUAA